ACCUAUCUCAUAGCUAGGGGGGUAAAGAAUAGUCGGGGAAAGCAAUGGCAAACUACCCCACAAAAACGGCUUGCCUAUAAAACCACUGCUUGCAGCAGUAUCCCAGGGUCGGAUAAGACUGAAGGGGAAACUUUACCUUUAUUAGAUGAAGCUACUUGGGAUGGGUGGAGGAUGAUGAUUCCUGCUUACU